rnacentral:rRNA from 1 species
UCGACGCGGUUUUCCCGCAGGGAAAACUGAGUGGCGAACGGGUGAGUAACACGUGGGUGACCUACCUUCGAGUGGGGGAUAACGUCCCGAAAGGGACGCUAAUACCGCAUAACAUCCUGCUCUUGAAUGAGCGGAGAUCAAAGCCGGGGAUCGUAAGACCUGGCGCUUGAUGAGGGGCUCGCGUCCGAUUAGCUAGUUGGUGAGGUAAUGGCUCACCAAGGCAACGAUCGGUAGCCGGCCUGAGAGGGCGGACGGCCACACUGGGACUGAGACACGGCCCAGACUCCUACGGGAGGCAGCAGUGGGGAAUUGUUCGCAAUGGGCGCAAGCCUGACGACGCAACGCCGCGUGGAGGAUGAAGGUCUUCGGAUUGUAAACUCCUGUUGCCAGGGACGAAUGGCCACGACCUAACACGUCGUGGUGUGACGGUACCUGGUGAGGAAGCCCCGGCUAACUCUGUGCCAGCAGCCGCGGUAAUACAGAGGGGGCAAGCGUUGUUCGGAAUUACUGGGCGUAAAGGGCGCGUAGGCGGCCUGUUAGGUCGAACGUGAAAUCCCCGGGCUCAACCCGGGAACUGCGUCCGAUACUGGCAGGCUUGAAUCCGGGAGAGGGAUGCGGAAUUCCAGGUGUAGCGGUGAAAUGCGUAGAUAUCUGGAGGAACACCGGUGGCGAAGGCGGCAUCCUGGACCGGCAUUGACGCUGAGGCGCGAAAGCCAGGGGAGCAAACGGGAUUAGAUACCCCGGUAGUCCUGGCCCUAAACGAUGAAUGCUUGGUGUGG